rnacentral:rRNA from 1 species
GGGCCCGCACAAGCGGUGGAGUAUGUGGUUUAAUUCGACGCAACGCGCAGAACCUUACCCGGCCUUGACAUCCUGUGAAUCCCCCCUAAAAGGGGGAGUGCCUCCUCACGGAGGAAUACAGUGACAGGUGCUGCAUGGCUGUCGUCAGCUCGUGUCGUGAGAUGUUCGGUUAAGUCCGGCAACGAGCGCAACCCCUGUCUCUAGUUGCCAGCAUUUCGGAUGGGCACUUUAGAGAGACUCCCGGUGUCAAACCGGAGGAAGAUGGGGAUGACGUCAAGUCCUCAUGGCCCUUAUGGUCGGGGCUACACACGUACUACAAUGGCGCGUACAAAGGGAAGCAAUACCGCGAGGUGGAGCCAAUCCCAAAAAGGCGCCUCAGUUCGGAUUGGAGUCUGCAACUCGACUCCAUGAAGUCGGAAUCGCUAGUAAUCGUGGAUC